rnacentral:tRNA from 1 species
UAAAAGGUGCCGGGGCUUCUCCCGUUUUAAGAGAGACGGGAGAAGG